rnacentral:lncRNA from 1 species
CGGGUCCCGAUGGGCAUGCUCGUACUUGAACCCUUCUCAAAAGAUCAACGUCGAUCGGUGGUGCACUCGCGAAGGAUCCUGCCAAUCAGCUUCCUUGCGCCUUACCGGUUUCUUGGCCUAUUGACUUGCACGCAUGUCAGACUCCUUGGUCCGUGUUUCAAGACGGGCCGGAUGGGGAGCCCGUAGGCCAACGCCUAGAGCACGUUGGUGUCGGGGCACCCUGAGACUGUGCGUGCUGCAUUCCAUGAUCACGAUGACUAUGUCUCCGUGGGCACAUCGAAAGCUCGAGCUUGGGCCGCUGUUGCAACCCGCGUUGGUCCACGCCCCGAGCCGAUCGGUGGACCGGCUCUUACCAUUCCACAUCCGACUGGGGUGCAUCGUCGACCCCCAUCCGCUUCUCUCUCAACAAUUUCAAGCACUCUUUGACUCUCUUUUCAAAGUCCUUUUCAUCUUUCCCUCACGGUACUUGUUCGGUAUCGGUCUCUCACCCGUAUUCAGCCUUGGACGAAAUUUAUCGCCCAAUUGGGGCUGUAUUCCCAAACAACCCGACUCCCAGACAGUGCCUCGUGGUGUGACAGGGUCCGAGCAUAACGGGGCUUUCACCCUUUCUGAUGCCCUUUUCUAGGGGACUUGGGCCCGGUUCGUCGCUGAGGACGCUUUUCCAGACUAUAAUUCGGACGUCGGGGGCACCUGAUUCUCAAGCUGGGCUCUUUUCAGUUUGAUCGUCGUUACUAGGAGAAUCCUGGUAAGUUUCUUUUCCUUCACUUAUUGAUAUGCUUAAACUCAGUGGAUGAUCCUACCUGGGGUCAUGAGGCGAGCAUCGAUCGAGUGAUACGGGGGGUCCGAAGGGGUCCAGGUGGACAACGAGUGCGCGUCACCGGGGACAAGGCAUGUUGGGAGCUCUACCACCGACGGUCACGGUGCUAUCAUUGCCGGGGACUCGCUUUUGGGCCAAUCGUGACCCACGAGAUCACGGGAGGCCAUCUUUCGCCCACCCCCUUCCCUCAGAGCCCGAGGGGCAGAGGGUCGGAGGGGGGGCGACAGUGCAUGACACCCAGGCAGGCGUGACCUCGACCUAAUGGCUUGGUGCACAACUUGUGUUCAAAGACUCGAUGGUUCAUGAGAUUCUGUAAUUCACACCAAGUAUCGCAUUCGCUACGUUCUUCAUCGAUGUGAGAGCUGAGAUAUCUGUUGCCGAGAGUCAUUUCAUUUUUUCGUGACAAAAAGAGUCGCAGGGUUGGCCGUGCACGCACUACGGACGGGAUGGCGAUGGCACGCGCACUCCAUUUUUGUUUCAGUUCCUUGGCACGAUUCGUCAAGCUGGGCUCGGGCAUGUGCUGGUGUCACAUUUUUUUCACUCGGGGCACCAUCUCCGGAGAGCCUAACGGACGGCAUUGGGGUUCCGGCGAUUAGGGGGCCGGGGGGUGUGUGCACAUGAUGUGUGAUGGGUGCUGGUACUUGACCCUUAUAUUGGCCCCCUAUCCCUCAUCAAACCUCGAGAACUCACACCCCCUUAAAGAGCAUUUGAGAUUUUAUAGGUUUGCUGCCAGUAGCCAUUAAAGUGUCUGAAAUGGGGACACUUUUUUCAAAUGGUCACAAAAUCUUCUCCACUUCGAGUUUUUAGCUGAAUUUUUUUGUGCAUUCUAAAAAAAAAUACAAGGAUCACCUCUACCAAAUUUGGGGACAAAACUCUUUCUAAAAAAAUUUUAAAAAAUCUCGAACCGUAAAAAGUUUCAAAAAUCGUGAAAAAUAGAAAACGGGUCAUCUUGCCACGAAACUUCACAUGAAGGCUUAGGGGACCAUUGUAUGAAUUUACAAGCCAUAAAAAUGGCAUUGGCAUGGCAGAAAUAUGAAGAUGUGCUUGAACCUACCUACCAUCCAUUCGAUCCCCGGCUUGUGCAUCCUGCCUCUCUGGCCGGCUGAGUGCCUGCACGCUCGUUUUGUGGGUUGACUUAGGCCUACAGAGUUCAUCCCCAGUCUAAGCAUACGAAGUUCAUUCUAGUCUAAGAUCAGACCGGAUAGAGGGUUACGACAGCAAGAUCGACAGUACGUAGGGGGGAUCGGAUCGAUCCUUGGCUUGUGCAUUCUGCCUCUCCGGUCGGCUGAGCGCCCGUACGCCCAUUUCAUGGGUUGGCUUAGGCAUAGGGAGUUCAUUCCAUGUCUAAGCCCCAGCUGGAUCGAGGGUUGUGGCAAUGGGGCCGGUAGCACAUUCAGAGCACUGGGCAAAAAUCACAUUAUGUGAGCAUUCGCAGGGACCAUCGCAAUGCUUCAUUUUAAUUAAACAGUUAGAUUCCCCUUGUCUGUACCAGUUCUAAGUCGACUGUUUGUCACCCAAGGAAGGCCCUCGAGGGAGCCAUUCCCAGUCCGUGCCCCGAUCGGCAUGCGAUGACCUAUUCUCACCGCUGGAACAGCUCGAACAGUGCACCGGUAGCCAACGGGUUCAGGACUAGGACCCCCCUGCCUAGCCCUCAGAGCCAAUCCUUUUCUCGAGGUUACGGAUCCAUUUUACCAACUUCCCUUACCUACAUUGUUCCAUCGACCAGAGGCUGUUUACCUUGGAGACCUGAUGUGAUUAUGAGUACGAUCGGGCAUGGACGGCACUCAUUCCUCUAGAUUUUCAAGGGCCGUCGGGGGUGUAUCGAACACCACGUGACAUGUGGUACUCUUUCGAUCGCUGGACCCUACCUCCGACUAAGUCGUUUCUAGGGUGGACGGGCCGUUAAAUAGAAAAGAUAACUCUUUUCGAGGCCCUCACCGACGUCUUCGGACUCCCUAAUGUUGCCAUCAGUCGUCAUGUCCCGGUUCAAGAAUUUUAACCCGAUUCCCUUUUGAAGCUACACGGGACGCAUUGUCAGACGGGCUUCCCCCAUCUCUUAGCAUCGACUAACCUAUGUGCAAGUGCCGUUCACAUGGAACCUUUCCCCUCUUCGACCUUCAAUGUUCUCAUUUAAAUAUUUGCUACUAACACCAAGAUCUGCACCGACGGUCGUUUCGCUCGGGCUCAUGCCUCAGGUUUUACGGUGACCGCCGUGCCCUCCUACUCAUUGGGGCCUGGCCCUCGCCUCGAUGACUGGGUAUAGGUCAUGUGCUUAAGGGCCAUCUAUUUUUGGGUCUAGUUGAUUCGGCAGGUGAGUUGUUACACACUCCUUAACGAAUUUUGACUUCCAUGACCACCGUCCUACUGUCUUAAUCGACCAACACCCUUUGCGGGUUCUGGGUUAGCGCGUAGUUGGGCACCAUAACCUGGCUUCUAGUUCAUCCCACAUCACUAGUUUUGCAUACCAAAAAUGGCCCACUUGGAGCUCUCGAUUUCGUGGCACGGCUCAAUGAAGUAGUCGCACCGUCCUACCUAUUUAAAGUUUGAGAAUAGGUCGAGGGCGUUGCGCCCCCGAUUCCUCUAAUCAUUGGCUUGACCCGAUAGAACUCGACGGGGGCUCCAGCUAUCUUGAAGGAAACUUCGGAGGGAACCAGCUACUAGAUGGUGCAAUUAGUCUUUCGCCCCUAUACCCAAGUCAAAUGAACGAUUUGCACGUCAGUAUCACUAUGGGCCUCCACCAGAGUUUCCUCUGGCUUCGCCUCACUCAAGCAUAGUUCACCAUCUUUCGGGUCUCGACGAGCAUGCUCGCACUCAAACCCUUCUCAGAAGAUCAAGGUCGACCAACGGUACACCCGUGAGGGAUCUCGCCAUUCAGCUUCCUUGCGCUUAUGGGUUUUCGGGCCCAUUGACUUGUACGCAUGUCAGACUCCUUAGUCCGUGUUUUAAGAUGGGCCAGAUGGGGAGCCUGCAGGCCAAUGCCUUGGAAAAUGCUGGUGUCGAGGCACGUCGAGACGGUGCGUGUUGUGUUCCAUGAUCACGGUGACAACGUCUCUGUGGGCACAUCGAAAGCCCGGGCUUGGGCCACCAUCGCGACUAGCGUCGGUUCACACCCUGAGCCGAUCGAGGGACCGGCUCUCACCAUUCCACAUCUGAUUGGGCGCAUCGUCGGCCCCCAUCCGCUUCCCUUCUGACAAUUUCAAGCACUUUUUGACUCUCUUUUCAAAGUCUUUUUCAUCUUUCCCUCGUGAUACUUGUUCACUAUCGAUCUCUUGCCGUAUUCAGCCUUGGAUGGAAUUUACCACCCGAUUGGGGCUGUAUUCCCAAAACAACCGGACUCGUGGACAGCACCUCGUGGUGCGAUAGGGUCUGGGCACAAUAGGGCUCUCACCCUUUCUGACGCCCCUUUCCAAGGGAUUUGGGCCCAAUCUGCCAUUGAGGAUGCUUCUCCAUACUACAAUUCGAACGUCGGGGGCACCCAAUUCUCAAGCUGGGCUCUUUUCGGUUUGUUCACCGUUACUAGGGGAAUCCUGGUAAGCUUUUUUUCCUCCGCUUAUUGAUAUGCCUAAACUCAGUGAGUGAUCCCGCCUAACCUGGGGUCACGAUGCGAGCAUCGAUCGAGUGAUGCGGGGGGUCUGAAGGGGUCCGGGUGGACAACGAGCAUGCGUCACCGGGGACGAGGCACACCGGGAGCUCUACCACUGAUGAUCAUGGCACUGUCAUUAUCGGGGACUCACUUUUGGGCCAACCGUGACCCACAGGAUACGGAUGUGGGAGGCCAUCUUUCACCCACCCCCUUCCCCUGAAGCCCGAGGGGUCAGAAGGGGGGCGACGGUGCAUGACACCCAGGCAAGCGUGCCCUCGGCCUAAUGGCUUGGGGUGCAACUUGCGUUCAAAGACUCGAUGGUUCACAGGAUUCUACAAUUCACACCAAGUAUCGCAUUUUGCUACGUUCUUCAUCGAUGCGAGAGCCGAGAUAUCCGUUGUUGAGAUUCGUUUCAUUUCUUAGCCACUCUGCCACUUACAAUACUCCGUCGGGUAUUUAAGUCAUCUGCAAAGGAUUCUACCCAUCGCUCGGUGGGAAUUGAGCUCCAAGGGGUUGCACCUACGACACGUGCCAUUGGGGGCCAUGGGCCCCUACUGUGGGUCAGUAAUUGGGCGAUGGGCGUACGCGUCGCUUCUAGCC